AUGCCAGUUCAACCAAGAGAGAAGACAAGAAACUGAAGCACACACAUACACGCAUACACCACACACACACACACACACACACACACACACACACACACACACUUCUCCAACCAGUGGAAGCCAAGCCACCCUUCAGGAAGAAGGCUUCACCCUGACAUCCAUUCUAUUUCAACCAUGGACACACUCCAACAGAGCCAGUGCCGGCAGGACAUUGUGAAUGGACUUAGGACCCUCCAGGGUGCAGCUGGCUCAUGCAGCAACCUCCACUUUCCCAGAAGACCUUGAGUGGGACUUUCUGAAACUGAAGGAGAAACCCCCUCUUUCUUUCCACCACCCCUGCAAGUUUCCUCACCACUUGCAAGGAGCAGGCUGCAGGUUUCCUGUCUAAGGGGAGAUCGGAUGUGGCCAAGGGAAAGAGCCUGCGCUCCAGGGGACGCUCACAAAGGUCCCUCUGUGAGGAGACAAAAACACCUCCGACUCUCAGAUCGCAGCCCUUGGCGGGACUCAGCAUACACGCGCUGGUUUCUCGGUUGUCCUUCGAGUGACAGCUUCUCCCGGAACUUGCUGAGGAGGCAGAAAGGCUGUGGAAAGCUGUGUUUCCCUUCUUGGUUCUGCGCACUCUCAGUGGGCACUGGUGAUUUUCCUGAAGCCUUCUGGUGGCUGUGUGUUUGUUUAGAGCCGGCUCCAAGAGCCCCCAAAGCUGCCUACAUAGCACACCUUAGAUGUGGUAUUUAUUUUCUUAGUUCUGUGAACACCUGGGAGGGAAAGCAGAGAAACUGAGAUUUAUUUUUCAAAUUGGUGUCAUAAUAUUGUGUAAAAAGGGAAGAAAAAAAAAAAACCACCCCCAGCUUCUUUCUUUUUCAAGCCACAGCGUGUUUCCUGUUUGAGUUCCAAGCCCUGGUGGCAGACUAUUCCUGAAGGCAAAGAAGAUGGGAGGGAAGGGCCUUUUGCUGAGGAGACCAGGAGACAAGGCGUCAGGCAGUUCCCUCCUGCCUCUGCAACAACCACUCCCCAAGCACGACCUGAAGGCCCUACUGAAGGGCUUAGGUGUGUGUACAUAUAUGUAGCAUAUAUAUAUUUAUAUAUACAAAUAUUUAUUUACUGGUGGAUUUUUCUGGAUUGAAAAAAACAUGCAGUACAAGAACAGAAAGUGGGAAAGAAAAAGAAGGCUCUGACUCCCCGUUUCUGCCAUUUCAUUGUCAAGGCACAUCGCCCCGUGGUGAUCAUGAGAUUUAAGGGAAAUUAAAGUAUCUCCUUAUCAUAAAGAGACUGAGAAUUUCUAUUCUGGAUCCUCAAAACAACAUGAAAGCUAUGCUGGGCAAGAUUUACUCUCCCAUUUGUCAGAUAAGGAAACUGAGUCUCGGAAAAGUUAAGAGACUUGUCCAUGGUAUCUUGGCUAAUGUGGUUUGGGACUAGGUACCACUAAGAAGAUAUGUAAUAGAGAAAAGAACCUACACAUCUUGGAAAAGGGUCAUUUCUGGUCACUGAGAAGCGAUUCCAUUUGGAUCCAGGUUACCAGGGAGGAAUGAACGUGUGGCACAUGUGUGGACGGGACAAGCCCACAUGAGAGAAUGAGGCCUCCCAAUACUUCCCAGAGACUCUCUCUGGCCUGACCUGGUGAGAAGUUGGUCCAGGGCUGAAGGCAGUGGACAGAUCUUCAGAUUAAACUCUCCACAUAUCAUCUCAUCAUGGUCAUCAUAGUCUCUUAAUCUAAAAACACCUCUGGCUGCCCGGAUGACCUCAGUGGAGAGGCACAAGGAGGACAGAGGCACCUCAGCAGGGAGCUGCCAGCCAGUGCCCAGAGGGGCCUCAGCAGGGAGCUGCCAGCCAGUGCCCAGAGGGGCCUCAGCAGAGUUCAGUGGGCUUCAUUCAGCUGGCAAGAGCAUCACCGCCUUCCCCGAGGGCAAGUCUGUGGAGAGCUUUGUUGGUAGAAAGAAACAUUCACCUCGGCACCUUUGCUCCUUCAGCCUCCAUCCCCUCUGAGAUUUCUGAAAAGGAAACCUGGACCCACUCGACGUCACUCCACUGAGCUCCCUCUAAUCUCCUAACACUGGGUCAGGAACUUUGCGCAAGGAAGGGAAAAUUAAGGUUGUGUGUACAAACUGAUCCUAACUCUGAAAGAAGCAGUCAUCUAGGACCGUCUAAGACAGAGAUCUAGAACCAUCCUGUUCAACCUAACAGUGCAGAACACUGGGCAAGGGGAAAGCAGCCCACCUGAAGAAUGUCCUGAAAUGAUGGGCUCCUUGGGGAUGGGACUAACAAGCUCAGAAUGACAACAGGUACUAUCUUGGAAGCCACUUAAUUCUGAAAUGAAGGCAGGUUCAAUUUGGGGUCACUGAUUCUAAGACAUUUGCAGAAAUUCUUGCAUGUGUUUCAGCCUCAACCCCCCAAGAUUGAGGCUGUUGAGAACAUGGCACUAUCAACAGGUGAAAAUGAUUCUUAGAGACUCACAAGUCAGAGACUGGCCCCUGCCUGCCCACUGUGGUGCACAGGACUGGCAGUGUUGCUUGAGAGACAUGUCCCAUGUCCUCCUUAAAGCCACAAAGUAUAGCAAACAUCGGUGGAAUUGUACUUUCAAUUUUGUAACCUCAAAAAAAAAAAACUGGUACCAAGUGGUUAUCAGAAAAUGGCAUGAUCUUCAAGAAAAGAAAAAUUUUCCUGAGUGUUUCUACAUAAAAUUGGAGGAUCAGAGGGAUCAUAAGAGAUAUCUACCCACUUUGUUAUCUCCAGAUGGCAAGAGGCAGGAGAUCCAACUAAAGAGAAGAGGAUCCGACAGCAAGUUGCUGACCAGCGUACAGCACAUCUGCCCUCUCCUGUGGAAUGGGAAGAAGUCACCUUGUGUGCCUCUCUGUACCGUCAUCCUCAAUGCUCGAAAACAAGACCCUUCUAUCUUGGAAAAAUCUGGCAAAUGUUCCAUUGAGGCUGCUGAGGAAGGAAGCUAUGGUGGUUUGAAGGAAGAAACCCUGCCUGGGAAACAAGAGCAACAAGGGGAGAGGGCUACAGUCCUGUCUCAGCCGUGUGGCCUUGGACAUGUCCUGUAGCCUUCUGGGACCUCUCUUUCUCCAUCUAUCACACAAGGGGGGCUCUGAAGACCUUCCCACUUCACCAAUCUUGCCUUCACCUGGAGUAAACGCUGCCAUCCUUGUUCUCAUUCAGAAGUGCCUGGGAUCUGAAAACACACCAACACACUCCCAUCAGAAAUCUUUACUUGAUGUCCAUGGUGAGCUAAUGGAGAAAUCUACCUCCCAGGAAUGCGUGGGAGUUGAACCAAACUUUCUCCAGCUCCCUGGCCCACUGAAGCUAGUCUUCUGCCCACCCAAGUAUCACAUGCCCUGUAUCUGUGUGCCUACGUUUUAGCAAACAUGCAGCACGGUUGGAGAAGUCAGAAAGAUAAAAAUUCCUAGUGGAAGAAAAUUCGGAAGAGAUCUUUGUAUUUUGUUUGUUUCCUACUAAGGAAUUCUUAGAAGUUCAGAACCUUCCAUAAUAAGCUGUCAUCGGAUACAGUUGUUUCCGAAUAAGGCCUCAGCUUUGAUUGCAGGGUUUUAAAGUGUCUGAGGGAGGAAUGCGAUGUUUCAGCAUUCUCUUAGCCCAGCCCUGUCCCCCACCAGGCUGAGGGGGGUGGGGUGCGGGUGUGGGAAGCACAGCGUUGAACUAUCAGUUAUGGAAACCCAGUGUGUGCAAAUUAAACCAUUUAUUAAACUCCUGAAGAGAGAUCGCUUAAGAUCCCUGCAGUGGAUUCUGAAAAUAUAACCCAGUACUCCCGCUUCAUUUCCAUGUCCUGUUAAGCGUGAGUCUUCUGGGUUGGGCUGUCCUGAGGACAGGCACAUCUAUUUAGAAUUCUGGGUCAAGAACAUGCCUUAGCAACUCCUCAGCCACCACUUCCUCCCCCUUACUUGGUGUUCAGUUCCUCUCAACAAACUGCAGGUGAGCCAUGACGGUGUCCUCAUCCACCUCAGUUUGUAAGUGAGGAAUCUGAGGCUCAGAGAGGCCAAGCAACUUGCCCUGAGAUAGCUCAGCUCGAGUCAGAAUUCCGAUUUGCUGACCCCAAAGCUCCUUCCCGGGGGACCGCUUCACCAAGGGAGCUGGCCUGCACAGAAGACAAUGUCUGCCUAUUCCUACCAGUUUUUAUUCAAAGCAACUGCUACUCUCUACUCAUUAGAUCCUCUAUCUUUUAACACAUGUAAUUUAAAAGCCAAACAAUACUAACCCAAUCAAUUCAAAUGACUUUUUGAAAACCUCUAUGUUUCCUUGGAAAACUGUCUUUUAGAUUCCACCAUUACCAAGUGGAACUGCAAGACCUCCCUGAUGUUGAUAACACCUCUGUGCUCUGAGUUUUACUGCCUCUCCCAGGAGCCAGAUGGAUGCCUCUGGCCCAGCCCUCCCUUUGCCUGACAGCUGUCAUUCACAAUGGGAGGGAGCCUUUGACCCUCAGCUGAGACAGGCAACAAAGUAUGGCCAGAUUUCCAACAGUCACACCUAUACUACACACACACACACACACACACACACACACACACACACA